UAGAAGACGUGCGAAGGCUACGGGGGUGUCCAGUAGAGGACGUGCGAAGGCUACAGGGUGUCUAGUAGAGGACAUGUGAAGUCUACGGGGUGUCCAGUAGAGGACGUGCGAAGGCUACGGGGUGUCCAGUAGAGGACGUGUGAAGGCUACGGGGUGUCCAGUAGAGGACGUGUGAAGGCUACGGGGUGUCCAGUAGAGGACGUGUGAAGUCUACGGGGUGUCUAGUAGAGGACGUGUGAAGUCUACGGUGUGUCUCGUAGAGGGGUUGUGAAGUCUACGGGGUGUUUAGUAGAAGACGUGUGAAGUCUACGGGGUUCUAGUAGAGGGGUUGUGAAGUCUACGGGGUGUUUAGUAGAGGACGUGUGAAGUCUACGGGGUGUUUAGUAGAGGACGUGUGAAGUCUACGGGGUGUUUAGUAGAGGACGUGUGAAGUCUACGGGGUGUUUAGUAGAAGACGUGCGACGGGGUGUUUAGUAGAAGACGUGCGAAGUCUACGGGGUGUUUAGUAGAAGACGUGCAAAGUCUACGGGGUGUUUAGUAGAAGACGUGCAAAGUCUACGGGGUGUUUAGUAGAAGACGUGCGAAGUCUACGGGGUGUUUAGUAGAAGACGUGCGACGAGGUGUUUAGUAGAGGACGUGUGAAGUCUACGGGGUGUUUAGUAGAAGACGUGCGACGAGGUGUUUAGUAGAGGACGUGUGAAGUCUACGGGGUGUCUAGUAGAAGACGUGCGACGGGGUGUUUAGUAGAAGACGUGCGAAGUCUACGGGGUGUUUAGUAGAGGACGUGCGAAGUCUACGGGGUGUUUAGUAGAAGACGUGUGAAGUCUACGGGGUGUUUAGUAGAGGACGUGCGAAGGCUACGGGGUGUUUAGUAGAAGACGUGCGAAGUCUACGGGGUGUUUAGUAGAAGACGUGCAAAGUCUACGGGGUGUUUAGUAGAAGACGUGCGAAGGCUAUGGGGUGUUUAGUAGAGGACGUGCGAAGGCUAUGGGGUGUUUAGUAGAAGACGUGCGAAGGCUAUGGGGUGUUUAGUAGAGGACGUGCGAAGGCUAUGGGGUGUUUAGUAGAGGACGUGCGAAGGCUAUGGGGUGUUUAGUAGAGGACGUGCGAAGGCUAUGGGGUGUUUAGUAGAAGACGUGCGAAGGCUAUGGGGUGUUUAGUGUUUUUGAAUAGUAAUAUUCACUAGAUGUACUUUGUAUCAUCACCUAUAACUCCAGUCCUAGCUCUUCUCAGAAUAACCAGCAGUCUUAAUUUGAUACCAGAAGAUGAAUGAUUCCAUAUUCACUUAUUUAAGUUUCUUCUUCUUCUUCAAAAAAAGCCCAAAGACAAGUCCCAUGAUGACAACUUUAUUUACAUGAACAACUGGCAAGCAGACAGACCACUGGGACAAAGAUGUGAAUGCAGAGGGGUACAAAAUAAUCCCUGAAAAACAAGCAGUCAGACUCCAGUCGUGUUAACGAAGGACACCAUAUCUAUCUGAGGCCAUUCAGUUUCCUCCUCCACAAUGCAACACAAUUCAGAGUAUUUCAGAACACCCAGCUGACAUGAGCGAUACCAACCACCACCAUAUAAUCUUACUGAAUACUAAUCUGAUUUAAUACUGAAUGCAUCAUCGUCUCAUGUAUUUAAGAUCUGUUAACUACCACCAGUUUUUUAAAUGAGUCUUGAGGACUUCUGUAGAAUUAAAAACAUCCCCAAUAUGGUGUUAUAAUUCAGUAGCAGUAACAUUGAAAAACACACAAUUUCCUGUGGUAGAAUUGUCAUUGGUUGCACUAAUUGCACUGUUUGUCUACAUAACCUGUUUGAAGUACUCAUGACAUUACACUGAAGAAGGCACAGUGAUGCCGAAACGUUGGUAAAUACCCAAUAAAUUACUGGGAGUUUA